CAAGUAGGACGGAUGAUCGCGGCUGCUUAAAGCAGGUGAGGAAAGUCCGGGCUUCAAAGGGCAGGAUGCCGGAUAACGUCCGGUGGAGGCGACUCCAAGGCCAGUGCAACAGAAAUAUACCGCCCUUGGCGCAUUUUGCGCCAAGUGGUAAGGGUGGAAAGGCAGUUUAAGAGACUACCGCCUGCACGGUAACGGGCAGGGCACAUGUAAACCCCAUCCGAAGCAAGACCAAAUGGAAAGCGUUUGAACCGGCCCGGCGAGCUUUCAGGUGGGUCGCUGGAUGCUGCUGGUAACAGCAGUACUAGAUAGAUGAUCAUUCACGACAUAACCCGGCUUAUAGUCCUGCUUGACUU
rnacentral:RNase_P_RNA from 1 species